UGAACUUUGGAGAAUUGAAUACCCUUAAUGCA
rnacentral:piRNA from 1 species